rnacentral:lncRNA from 1 species
GAACUGAAAUGAAGAUUUUAAAAAGAUUUCAGUUUUGAGGAAUCUUUGCUCUCUCUAACUCAUAACAAUGGUAUGAGAAUGUCCUUUUGCAAUUCUUAAUCGGAGAUGGAAUUUAAAAGUUAAUUGACUUGGCAAACAGGUUUACAAGGUCUGCAGUGCUCAGAGGCAGAUCAUAGCUGUUACGUGGGCAGCACACCGGGCUCAGUGACUCCGUCUUCUCAAACAUCCAGUGUUAGUGAAAGUCAAAUGGAGAUUUCCCUUGCUGCCUAUCAGGCAAAACAAAACUGACUGUGUAAACCUGACUCGAGGAAAGAGCAGGCGUAAGGAAACGAGGCCGCAAAAGGGUGGAGUGCAGACUCCUGCUGGAUGUCCUUGCAGCCGUGGAGCUCUGUGCAGCUGUGCAGCCCCCAAGUACCCCAGGGGGAGAGAGAAUAGGAAUUCAUCUUUUAUGACCCAAUUAUGUUCCUAAAUGAAGUUAUUUGAUGACUACAUUCCAAGGAUAGCUUCUAUCAACUCCUAGAGGGUCUAGCAUGUGCUUUCCACGUGGACACAUAAAAUAUUUGUGGAAUGAAUUUUGGAAGCAUUAAGCUAUUACAAAUAGCUGUGAAAAGAAGAGAAGCGAAAAGGAAAGAUAUAAGCAU